UACGGGGGGGGCAAGCGUUGUUCGGAAUUACUGGGCGUAAAGGGCUUGUAGGUGGCCAACUAAGUCCGACGUGAAAUCCCUAGGCUUAACCUAGGAACUGCGUCGGAUACUGGAUGGCUUGAAUCCGGGAGAGGGAUGCGGAAUUCCAGGUGUAGCGGUGAAAUGCGUAGAUAUCUGGAGGAACACCGGUGGCGAAGGCGGCCUGCUGGGCAGUUUGGCUGACACUGAGGCGCGACAGCGUGGGGAGCAAACAGG
rnacentral:rRNA from 1 species